GGGUGCGAUCAUACCAGCAUUAAUUCACGGGAUCCCAUCAAAACUCUGCAGUUAAGGGUGCUUGGGCUAGAGUAGUACUGGGAUGGGUGACCUCCCAAGAAGUCCUAUUGUUGCAACCU
rnacentral:rRNA from 1 species